CGGGCUGGCGGGGCCCCUCCCCUUCCCCUGGCCCAGACCCGAGCCAGACUGGGUCCCCGGCCGCCCAUUAACCCGGCCGCUGCCCGGAGCGCCCUGCCAGACACUUUUGAUGGCUGCCCUUUGCUCCGUCUGGUCUGAGCGGACAAAAGAGGGAAAUUGAACAUCGUCUUCUCUGGAAGUCUCUGAUCCUGCGCUUGUGUAAGAGGACCUGCCUCUGAGCAUGCAGCCAGAUGCUCCAAAGCAGGACCUGACACUCCAUCCUCAGAGUCCAGUCCAGCAGCAUGGAAAGACGACAGCAGCUCCUCUGGGGUCGUCUUGCUGCAGCCUUUUUGGAGGCCGAGACAGUCCUCUGUGCCGCUGUCUGGAAUUCCCCAGAAAGAGCCAGUGACGAUGACAGCAGUGGCAACCAGGCCAGAUUGGAACCUGGCCCAGCUUUGGAGCCGGCAGGGAGGUCACAGGCAAGUGUAGCAGGUCCCAGGCCAACAGGUCUUCCCGCAGGUACUCCUCAAAAGGCCAGUGUCUUAGAAUAAAAGGAAUUCCAGGAGUGCCCACCCUCAGCGUGCGUUUGAACCUUCAGUAGAGCUAGCUGGCUAAUGACAGGAAACAAGGAAAAGAAAUGCCCGGAAGAGUUUUAGACAUUGGAUUACAUUUUCGAGAGUUCCAAAAUGUCCCAUUACACAGGUAAUAUUGUCAAGACCCUAAGCCUCACAGAUUUGGAAUUCUUUGGAUUCAGAGUUUUUGAAAAAUCAGCUUGGUCAAAUUUGAGUAUGGACUGGAUAUGAGAUGAUAUUGUGGAAUAUUGUUAGUUUUCUCAAAUGUGAGAAUUGCAACGUGGUUAUGUAGGAGAACAGUCUUUUCCUAGGAAAUUCAUACUGAAGUGUUUGGGGGUGAAACAUCAUGAUGCCAGCAACUUAUUUUCAAAUGGUUCACCAGAAAAUCUUAAUACAGAUAAAGCAAAUGUGGCAAAAGGUUCACAAUCGUUGAAUCUAGGUGGAGGGUGUCUAGGUGUUCAUUGUGCUGUUCUUACCACUUUUCUGUAUGUUUGAAGACUUUCUCAACAAAUUAUUAAGGGAAAACAUUUAAAUAAAACAAGCUAUUCAGAUGCAAA